rnacentral:tRNA from 1 species
CCCUGGCUGUCCAGUGGUUAGAACUCUCCACUCCCAAUGCAGGGGAGCCGGGGUUCAAUCCCUGGUCAGGGA